GUAGGGAAUAUUGCACAAUGGAGGAAACUCUGAUGCAGCGACGCCGCGUGAGUGAUGAAGGCCUUCGGGUCGUAAAGCUCUGUCGCAGGGGAAUAACACAAUGAAGGUACCCUGUAAGAAAGGAUCGGCUAACUUCGUGCCAGCAGCCGCGGUAAGACGAGGGAUCCUAGCGUUGUUCGGAAUCAUUGGGCGUAAAGCGGAUGUAGGUGGCUAUGUAAGUCAGAUGUGAAAGCCUGGGGCUCAACCCCAGAAGUGCAGUUGAUACUGCGUAGCUUGAGUGUCGGAGAGGUUACUAGAAUUGUUGGUGUAGUGGUGAAAUACGUAGAUAUCAACAGGAAUACAGGGGACGAAGGCGGGUAACUGGCCGAACACUGACACUGAGAUCCGAAAGCGUGGGGAUCAAACAGGAUUAGAAACCCUGGUAGUCC
rnacentral:rRNA from 1 species